rnacentral:rRNA from 1 species
GCUAAGCCAUUAACAUUGAUAGCAUCUUAUACCCUGCUUUCCGCCAGAGAACUACAAGUGAAAAACUUCAAACUCAAAGGACUUGGCGGUGUCCCAUACCAACCUAGAGGAGCCUGUCCUAUAAUCGAUACCCCCCGUUCUACCUAACCUCUACUAGCACCUUUCAGCCUAUAUACCGCCGUCGACAGUCUACCCCAUGAGGGCCCAACAGUAGACAUAAUAGCUACGCUCGCUAAUACGUCAGGUCAAGGUGUAGCAUAUGUUGAGGAAGAGAUUGGCUACAUUUUUUAUCUUAAAAAAUACGGAAUGCAACAUGAAACCCUGCAUGAAGGUGAAUUUAGUAGUAAGAUAAAACAAGAGUGUUUAUCUUAACAACGCUCUG